rnacentral:sRNA from 1 species
CUGGCUCGUCUCUUCUCCGGCGGGCUUUGUUUGCGUCUGUUUUCCGCGCUGGCCAAUCACGCAUCUGGCCAAAGCCCAGUCCCGGCCCAGUCCCGGCCCAGUCCCGGCCCAAACUGGCCCAAACCGGCAGAUAAGGCCCGCAACAGCGCCAAAGCCAGAACACAAAGAGCGUGAGCAGCGGGGAGAACGCAGAACACAGGGCCAGUAACAACAAAAUCGAAUGCAAUUUAUUUUCUAGUUACUGUUAAGCUGAUUGCAACUGCGAUGCUGAUGGCGAGGACGAUACCGAUCCGAUGUCCUCCAAGCCUGCAACGGUUCGGCUGCUGGCUCUUACACGGAAACAAAUACCGUUCUGCAACACGUAACGGGUACUUGCCAUACGAUAGUAUCUUGCAACUCCGAUACGGGGGUACUUCAGCUCAGGACCUCCAGUCAUUAACACGUGCUAUUCUGGCCGAGGGUGAAGUCCACUCCUGAUUUCCUGUCAAACGCUUUGGAGGGAAACAACGUGCAUGUAAUUGUGUCGCCAGGACAGCCUAAUCCGUAGCCAGUGGCCACUUUUGCUGCUGCCACUUAAAAAUCCACUUAAUCCCGGCGUCUUAUAAAAAUAACAAAAGCGGCGCAGAGAAGCAGGAAAGUACAAAUCUGGGGAACUGAAAAAGUAGAGCCCAGCUUAGCCCCUUGCUCUGACGUAUUCAAACUGCAAGUCGAUUGUUAUUUUUACGCCAACGGCGGAAAUAGACAUCCUGCCUCGCGUCCUGCGAACAAAAAAAGAAACUUUAGCACAACUUUUGUGGAAAGCGCGGAUGGGAAAACGGGGAAAUGGCGAAGGAAAAGCCGGCAAGUCAAUGUCGGCUGAAGGAGUAAAUUUUGUGCGGCAGUUGGCCAAAGUUUUUCCCCCGACUGGGCAUGCUAUAUGCUGUACAGCAGGACCUUGCCAUUAUUGAAAGUGCCCGUUGAGUAAUUUAAAAGUAAGCCCCCGGGUCUCAACUCGCAGUCGCCCAUUGAACCAGCCAAGGUAUCGGGG